rnacentral:rRNA from 1 species
CGGACGGGUGAGUAACGCGUGGAAAACCUGCCGUAUACUGGGGGAUAACACUUAGAAAUAGGUGCUAAUACCGCAUAAGCGCACAGCUUCGCAUGAAGCGGUGUGAAAAACUCUGGUGGUAUACGAUGGUUCCGCGUCUGAUUAGCUAGUUGGUGGGGUAAUGGCCUGCCAAGGCAACGAUCAGUAGCCGGCCUGAGAGGGUGAACGGCCACAUUGGGACUGAGACACGGCCCAAACUCCUACGGGAGGCAGCAG